rnacentral:rRNA from 1 species
CACGUAGGGUGCGAGCGUUGUCCGGAAUUAUUGGGCGUAAAGAGCUCGUAGGCGGUGUGUCGCGUCGGCCGUGAAAACCUGCAGCUUAACUGUGGGCGUGCGGUCGAUACGGGCAUCACUGGAGUUCGGCAGGGGAGACUGGAAUUCCUGGUGUAGCGGUGAAAUGCGCAGAUAUCAGGAGGAACACCAAUGGCGAAGGCAGCUCUCUGGGACGGUACUGACGCUGAGACGCGAAAGCGUGGGGAGCGAACAGG